AAAAAUGGUUCGCUAGAAAAAAUACCCGUACGCGUCUGCCUCCUCGCAUCGCCUCGACCCUGGCCUCUGCCUAGGCCGAGCUAACCCUAGCUGCCGCCGCACCACUCGCCACCGCGGCCGACCUCAACCCACCCGCCGCCCCGGCCGACCUCAACCCGCCCGCCGCCCCGGCCACACCUCUUCCCGCUCGCCGCCCCCACCGCGGCGCUCGAGCGCAGCUUCUGGAUCAGUUCAACGCGGCGGCUCGACAGGCUGGGGACGAUGCGUCUGCUCGAAGCAAAACGGCGGUGGCGGGAUCCAGCAGGCGCGGGAGAAGGAGAGAUCCGGCGCGGCGGCGCGAAGUCCUUGUAAGUGGAGGCGGGCCUCCAUGGCUGGCAGGGAGAGCUCCAAGGUCAUGGCGGUGAUUCGAUUUUUCUGGUAGAGAAGAGAGACAGAGGAGGAUCCAGGAUGGAGGAGAGGUAGGAGAAGAAGGACGAGGAAGAUGGAAGUGUGCGGCAGGGGUGCAGCGGUGCGAGGGCACUGGUGCGCGUGAGGAGCACCUCUCCUCGGGAGGAUCAGGGAGGAGCGAGUGAAACUCAAAUUGACUUCAGAGCAAGGUACUGGUGUAGAACUACGAAGAAGCAAGCUGACCAGAUGCACACGUACUAGCCGGCAACAACGAUGAAGGAAGCCAACCAGAUGUGCACAAAACUACACUACAUCAUGCCUAAUUGAAUCCUCCGAAUACUUCUGAGCAUAAGGAUGAAAAAGUGCAGCAACCGACUUGGCUUAUUGUUUUGGAAAUUGCAACCGGUGCUCUCCUUCUUGUUUUUGUGAUCACUGGUGCUGUUACUGCCUCCAGAAGCUUCAAUCUAAAGCCUUCUAUAAGAAUAUCAUCAUGGAGUAGAUCAAAAAGUUGGAGCAACGAGAUAACAGUACUGAUUGAUAGAUUCUGAUAUGCUGAAAAGUUUGCCAAAGUUGAGUCACUAGGAACUUGAAGUAGUGUAUUAGGAUUUUAGCAACAUAAUUGGCUCAACUCUGGAGACUAUAGUCUACAAAGAAACAAUGAAGGAUGGACCUGAGGUUUCUGUCAUAUCAUUAUGCGCCUUUGAAGGUCAUUGGACUAGCCAGCAUGAGCUCUUUUACCAAAACAAGGUUAUUGAUCUGGCAAGGUUGAAUCAUGAGAACAUAGCAAAGUUUCUGGGCUAUUGCAGAGAGAGUGACCCAUUCUCGAGGAUGUUAAUCUUUGAGUAAAAAUCAAAUGGGACCCUGCACGAGCACCCACACUGUAAGUCUAUCUCUUCAAUUUCAUUAGGACAGACUAAAUAUUUGCAUUUUCUGUGUGUUGUAGAUUUGAUCUCAGUUGUUUUCGUCCUUUAUAUGGGGAAGCGGCCCAAUUCUCUUGGCUCAGAUGAAUGAAAAUAGCCAUCGACAUCGCCCAAGGUUUAAGGCUGGCGACGUCGUCUAUUGAAGCCCCACCGGCGACACGACGGGACAGCUCCGACUUGUACGUGGGUGUGGGAAUGCAGAUCCGCGUUGCCAGCUUACACAAGGCCAUGCUCAACGCGCCGACGCAGGGUUUAUCGCCCGUCUUUGUCAGAUAAGCAAAGCAAUCCACCUUCCUCUUUCUCAUCAGAUCCAUUUUAUUGUGAUAUUGCAUUUAAGUCAAUCAAUUUUUAUGAUUCUUUCAGUGUUAAAGAAAAUAGAAUUUACCUGAAUAAAUUGCGUGUAUAGAUAUGUAGAGGAUGAACUCAACAAGUGGAUCUUUCAAGGUUAAUUAGCUUUGCACAUUUUAUAAAAUAGAUGCAAUGGCAUAGCACCUUCAGUAUCAUGCUUGCACUCACAUGUUGUUCCAACAGCACUAUGAAUGCUGCCCAGAAUUGCCAUGACUUCAGCUUUCGCUAUAAGUUCCUAUGAUGCUCCUUUUCAGGUGACUUUUCAUGUGAUUUCUACUUCUAAAAAUUAGAAAGUACCUUCAGAUCAAAGCAGUGGAUUUGUAGAUUUUCUGGGUAUUGGUGCUACUCCAUCUCCAUUUGGCUUACGGUCUUUGGUCACUGAUUCUGAGGUACGACGUUGUUUUACUUUUAUGUUAAAUCCCAUUUAGCUUGGCACCUCCAUUUAUUGGUUCGGACCGAGCAAAGAUCCUGUCGAGCAAUAUCACUGACUGGAAGCAUAAAUUUUCAAAUCAGUGAUGAGAUAAAUCUUGUGUACCGAUGCUUAGCAGCUAGCGAAGUGCGGCUGGUAUUUUUGGUCUGUAUGUAGGUAGCUUCCUGAUGUGUGUGGCUGUGUGUUCAUUCACGACCUGAACUUAUUUCUGUUGGCUUCAUUUUAGUAAAGAUGGGGUGGGGAAAAAAACAACACCCUAUAUAUAUUGACUGAAAAUAAUAAUAUGUUUCAGUAGCUAUAUUUCUCUGUUUCCUAACAUGGUUGUAGGCUAGAUGUUCGUGUUGGUUUGUCUUGCUGUAGAACUUGCCCCUAUUCAUUUGUUACACAUUUUGUGUAGCUAUCAAGGAAGAAAGUAAUGGACAUUCACAGGUCAGAGUCUCCCCAUCAGCAUUUGAUGGCAGGGGCCGCUGCUUUACAGAAGAUGGAUGUGAAACCAAAAUCAUAUUAUACCAACUUUUAUUUAAUGCAUAUUAUCAUUUAGCAAUACGUUGGCUGUGCCUCCCCGUGAUCAAUGGAGAUCUUCUGUAGCUGUAUUGGAGUUUUGUCAUGCGUUAAACUUCUCAAUGGUUGACCAUGGAAAAUCUGUGUAGUUCUUAUUUUGUACAUAUGCUUCUGGUUUCAAGGAGAAUUCUUACUCCUUUUGGAAUUACCAUCUUUAAACAUUGUAGAUCCCAAUCUCUUGUGUAUUUGCAUCAAAUACUGUUUUUCGAAUGCUUAUCAUGUAUAAUACUAAACUCCCUGCCCCCUACUUCUUCUGUCACAUGUGUUGUUCCUUUGUCAUCAGUGGGCUCCAGAAAACACAACUGCAAGGUAGAGAAUAGUUGCCACUUAGUUAGCAUUUUAGUUAGCAGUGUAGACAUGUUAGUAAUACUAUAAUGUUGGACAAUAAAUGACUUCGACUACAUUCGAACGAACUUAUCUUGCUUCCAAGAAGAGUAAAAUCAUCUUUAAUAAUUUCCCGGAUUUUGCUUAUAUUCAUGUUUCUUAACAUGUUUGGAAUGUCGUUUCCUCCAAAAUGCGACAUUUACCUUCCAUUUGGAGCAUAGGAUGCAUUUUUUAUCAGUUGAUGACUAAAAAAAAAAUCACUUUUCUGAUAAAAACGCUAUCCAUCAGUUGGACUUAAUUAAUUGCCUUCUAGACACACCUUCAAAUAUAUACAGGUUCUCUAAUAAGGUAGUCGUGGGAACACUAUAUUUUUGGUUUACAUUGUAAAUGUUUCCAGUGACCACAAAUUUGACUUUCUUUUUUGCUUCUUUUCAGCUUUCAGGUCCUAAAUGAGAAGGUAAGGAUGUACUUGAGCAGUACGAGAAGACCGAGUUCCAUUAUCUCAGAAGCCAGAAGUUUCCCAUUAAUCUUUGGUUCUAAAAUUUGUUUAAGAAAAUGGUCAUUCUGCUAUUAGCACCACGAUUAUGUGUCAAUUGUAGAUUUUUAAUUGGUUAGAAUUAUUUUAUAUGUUUGAUUCCUUUGGUUCAUAUUUAUUCAACAACAAAAUAUUUUCGAGAUUGGUCAAUUUGAGGAUCAAACUUCAAACAUGUGAAUUGAUGUGGCAUCAAGCUAAAUCUAUUGAUACAUAGCUAUCCUUUUUUGCUUUGCACAAUUAAUAUUGUUACUGGAGAUGUAUGUUAAUCCUCUAGCUUUGCUCAUUUUA